CUCCACGGCGGCCGGUGGUGAAAUUAAUUAAACAGAUAAAACAUAAAGAAGAUAAGAGUGAAUCAGCGACGGUGAUGGCGAUGAUGGAACCGAUCGCCCGCCCUUCCCCAAACCCUAAUCCCUCAAUCCUUUUCCUUCGCGCCUCAUCCUCGGUCCGCCGCAUCUCAUCUGUCGCCGCCUCCCGCUUCCCCUUCGAUCGGUGGCGAUCUCGCCCUCGCUUUAGAGCUGCGCCGCCCCGAUCCGCCGACGCCUCGCUUCCAAAGUCUGAGCACGAUGUCGUUGUCGUCGGCGCUGGGAUCAUUGGACUGACCAUUGCACGACAGAUCCUCGUUGCUUCCGACCUCUCUGUCGCUGUCGUCGAUGCUGCCGUUCCCUGUUCCGGCGCCACAGGAGCGGGGCAAGGGUACAUAUGGAUGGCAAACAAGACGCUGGGUAGUGAGACUUGGGAGCUGGCGGCAAGAAGCAAGCAGCUGUGGGAGAAAUUGUCUGAGAGUAUAAGAGAUCAAGGCAAAGACCCUGCUCAAGUGUUAGGUUGGAAGAAGACAGGAAGCUUGUUGGUUGGUAGAACGCAAGAGGAGAUGCACAUGUUGAAAAAAAGGGUCAAGCAACUGAAUGAAUCAGGGUUGAGAGCAGAAUACUUGUCUACAUCUUCUUUGCAAUUAAAGGAACCAGCACUGAAAAUUGGAAAGGAAGGUGGAGCUGCUUUUGUACCAGAUGAUUGCCAACUAGAUGCCUCUCAGACAGUUGCAUUUAUUGAAGAGGGUAAUAAACAAUUCCUUUCACAUGGUAGAUAUGCCGAGUUCUAUAAUGAUCCUGCCCUUUCCCUAGUAAGCUCUGCAUCUGCACAAAUAGUUGGCAUUCAAACAUCCAAGAGAAACUUGUAUGCCAAAAGAGCUGUUGUCAUUGCUGCUGGUACUUGGUCGGGAACCUUGAUGCAAAAUCUCUUAGUACAACCAAAUAUUUUGCCAAACAUACCUGUCAUGCCUAGAAAGGGAUAUCUUAUUGUGUUGGAGAACUUCAAUAAGCUUCAUCUAAACCAUGGGGUGAUGGAGGUAGGAUAUAUGAAUCAUCACAGGUCCACUUCAGGAGCAGUUGAAAAUUAUCAGAGCUUGCCAUCCAUAUCAAUGACUGCCACUUUAGAUGUCAAGGGGAAUCUUCUACUUGGGAGUAGUCGGCAGUUUGUUGGAUUCAACAGAGAAUUGGAUGAAUCUAUUGUUCAACAGAUAUUGGACCGAGCAGGGCAGUUCUUUCCUGCAUUGAAUGCUUUGUCUCUUGAUAUUAAAAUUGGCAAAAGGAUAAGAAUUGGACACCGUCCUUACAUGCCUGAUGGGAAGCCUGUCAUAGGACCAGUUCCUGGUUUCCCAAAUCUUUUUCUUGCGGCUGGACAUGAAGGAUCCGGCCUUUCUCUGGCAUUGGGCACUGCAGAGAUGGUUACUAAUAUGAUUACUGGAGAUUCACGAACUAUAGACCAUAAACCAUACAGUGUAGAAGGCAGAUUUUGUUGAUCAUUUAUCGCCAAUAAAGCAGUCGUUGUAGUUGGUGAUGCCUGUUGUGAAUGAAAUCCAUCAAGCUGAUAAGGUGUGAAAAUGCACAAGGACAAUUUAUUGAGCCAUAUCCUACCUACCAGAGUUCAUAUGGUUUUCAAGAAGUUUCAACAAAUUUUAUGCGACAACCUUACUAACAGAAUGAUUUUCAGAUGGAUGAGUCAACAUGGAAACUCAAGGAGAUAAUGCAACAAAUGAUCGAACAUCAAGAGCAAUAAUUUUCAAGGAUACAGAACUUACAGAUUCAGUUAGAUCAAAUUACAUCAUCCCUCAAUCAGCCGCAAGCACAAAACUCCAGUGGAGAGAUGGAAAGUAGCGAUUCUGUCAGGCCUGACCCUACUUCCAUUAAUUCACAUGAUUUUUCUAAUAUUUUUUGUGAUGAUUAUGUGAU